GUGAUUCAUUAAAAAGACAGUUCAGCAGGCAAGGAGUCAACAUCAGAGACGCAUAAUCCAAAGCAUCCAAACAAAGAGAGGAAAAAGUGAUGCACACAGCAAAAUGAUAAUUUGGGCACAAGUUCCCUUCCAGAUGGUUACCCGCAAAAAUGUGGGUCAACCGUUCGGUGAAGGUCAUCAGCUUGUGAGGGACAGAGAGGUGGAUCAGCUGACCAACUUAGCAAAGCAAUGCAUUGCUGUGACCAGUGAAAGAGUUUUAGGCAUUUAGGAACUUUAAAAUGCCAUCUGUGUUUCCACACAGGAGCAAAGCAUUUCCUCUGCGAUUGGUGCAGAAAGAGUUUUAGUUAUCAAAAUGUUUGAAUCACCAUCUGGGAACUCACACAGGAUUAAAUCCCUACAGUUUGAGAAGUGUGGAAGGAGCUUCAGGCAAUUCAAAUCUUUGCUACGUCAUCUGCACAGUCAUACAGGAGAAGAAACAUCGAAGCAGAAGCAUCUGUUUCUGUGUGGUUCUCAUGGUGGUCUUCUAA